AAGGCGAAACGACAGGUGAAGGCUGACAGCUGUCAAUCAUUCUGCACUGGUGGCCAUGAUGCCGCCUGUCAGAUUUUCAUGACUACGAAAGAGUGUUCACCCUGUUCACUUCGUCCACUUCACUCAGCAGGGCCUACACACAGUUUGUGAAAUUAUCUUACUCUGAAUAUCAAGAAAUCGCUGAGACAAUGGCACCCGUAGUAAUUCAAGUAGAAUAUUGUGGUUCCUGAGGCUUUGAACCUCGGUACCGAGAACUUAGACAACAAAUAUUGUCAAAGUUUCCAGCAUCCGAGGUUCAAAUUUCGGGAAGAGUGGGACGUCGUAGUAGCUUUGAGAUCACAAUGAAUAACAAGGUUGUGUUUUCCAAAUUGAAACUUGGAGGAUUUCCAGAAGAUGAAGAUGUGUUUGAAGCUAUUAAUCAAGCACAAGAAAAUCUUGAACCCAAGGAAAUAACAACCUCUAAAAAUCCUUGUGUUAUUCUGUAAAUAAGACCCACUGUUGACUCGACAACCUAAUUUAAACUCAGUGUUCGACUUAAAUAAUAAUAAUAAUGCAUCCAUUUUACCAUUUUAUCAAAUGUUAAAUCCAUGAAAUGUGCUCAUGGUGCAUUGAACACAAGUGUCUCAUAAUAAAAUUUAAAGUUUUCAAGUAAGAUCUGAAUUGAUGGAGUGUUGGACUUCUUUUGAGGUUUGAAGUUAGAUUAUUCCAAUUCGUGGAUGCAGCAACUUUAACUUCCACUGAGGAACACAAAAAUAUUUCUCAUUAAUUGUUGGAAAAACAAAAUCUUUUAAAAUAUACUUACCUGUAAUUGAUAUUAUGUACUUUUUAAGCUAACCUACUUAAUACUCAGGACAUAAGAAAUCAGCUAAUGCAUUAUUCCAUGGGGAUGUUUUAUUUUUGAUAUUAUUUUGUAAAAUAAUGUUUAUUUCUUUGAUAUUCUAUUUAAUCUUAGGUUAAAAAUAAUAGUAGUGCUUGUCUGUUUUGAGUAGAACUUGACUCUAAUUUCGGGUUGUUGUUGUUUUGUCAGGGGCCACUGAAAAAUUCUCAAUGAUUUUCAAAUAUCUUGUUUUUUCACCAGAGCAGUUCACGUAUGAUUUCAAAUACCUAAAUAUUAAACGAUGGUGUUUGACUGAUGGAUUGAUAAGCUUUGAUGUUAAAAUGACAUAUUGCUAUCCUUGAAAAUGUUUCAGUGAUGUAUAGUUUUAAAUUAAUUUUAUAUAUCUAUUUGAAUAUUACACUAUUUCUUUAAUUGCCAACAUUGAAAUGUGGUUGUACAUUUUCACAUGGUCUGUACCCAGUCAGUCAAGCUUCCAUUAUUGCUUGUGGACAAUGAUCUAGAGGUUAAUGUUAUCGUCUGAUUGACUUUAAAUUUAAACAGUGUUUAUGUUCAGGAGACCAAGAAGCUUAUUGAUUACUUGAGGGGCUAAAGUCAUGGACUUGAUAUUUACACACUGGGUUUAUGUUCUUAAGACAUCUGAUUAAAUUCACAUUUAUACAGUGCUUAUGUUCAUGCAAAAGUCUGUUAAUUUUCAACGAUUUCCCAUAAUUCGAACGACUGGAGAUAUCAUCUGAUUACCAGUACAUGUUUUUUGUAUAAUAAAUGUUAGCACUGGGAAGAACUAAAAGCCAAUGGGUUGUUACUCUCAUCAGUUUUUAGUGUCUUGUAAAUGCUCCAAUUACCUACAUAAGAAUAAAUAUAUGACAACUUGACAAGCCUUGUGGACGGCUAUGAUGACUAGGCUGCAUUUGGCAUGUGUUGUGUUAACUGGCAACCAAUUUUUCAUAGUAGUAACUAGUAGUAUGCAUGUACAUGUAUUUAAAUGUUGUUUCUCAGAUGACUUCAUGGUAAGAACAAUCUUUAUGUUAAUACUCCCAUAACAAACAUUCAUAUCAUUCAAAAUGUUAUAUUCUUAAUAUGAUUGAUUCCCAAUUGUAUUGACAAGGAACUUUUGUUAAAAAAUCUCCCUCAUUUUCUUUCUUUUUAAAUUUGGACUCUAGAGAAAUACACUGGGGCUUGACUUGAAAUAAUUGUGAUAAUAUUUGUUUACUUUAUUUAUUCAUUAAUAUAUUGUUUAAGAUUAUUUUUUUAAAAAUUUCCCAGUGGUAAUAUUAAAAUAUAUACUAUAAUUUCUUUUUGAUUAAAAUAUUUCAGCCUUA